rnacentral:rRNA from 4 species
UUUGGUUAAGUUAGAAAGGGCGCACGGUGGAUGCCUUGACACUAGGAGUCGAUGAAGGACGGGACUAACGCCGAUAUGCUUCGGGGAGCUGUAAGUAAGCUUUGAUCCGAAGAUUUCCGAAUGGGGAAACCCACCAUACGUAAUGGUAUGGUAUCCUUAUCUGAAUACAUAGGGUAAGGAAGACAGACCCAGGGAACUGAAACAUCUAAGUACCUGGAGGAAGAGAAAGCAAAUGCGAUUUCCUGAGUAGCGGCGAGCGAAACGGAACAUAGCCCAAACCAAGAGGCUUGCCUCUUGGGGUUGUAGGACAUUCUAUACGGAGUUACAAAGGAACGAGGUAGACGAAGCGACCUGGAAAGGUCCGUCGUAGAGGGUAACAACCCCGUAGUCGAAACUUCGUUCUCUCUUGAAUGUAUCCUGAGUACGGCGGAACACGUGAAAUUCCGUCGGAAUCUGGGAGGACCAUCUCCCAAGGCUAAAUACUCCCUAGUGAUCGAUAGUGAACCAGUACCGUGAGGGAAAGGUGAAAAGCACCCCGGAAGGGGAGUGAAAGAGAUCCUGAAAC